rnacentral:rRNA from 1 species
CCUACGGGGGGCAGCAGUGAGGAAUAUUGGUCAAUGGCCGGAAGGCUGAACCAGCAAAGCCGCGUGAAGGACGAAGGUGCCAAGCAUUGUAAAGUUCUUUUGUCAAGGGACAAAAUCAGGCUCGAGAGCCUGACAGAGGGUACUUGAAGAAAAAGCAUCGGCUAACUCCGUGCAAGCAGCCGCGGUAAGACGGAGGAUGCGAGCGUUAUCUGGAUGUCUUGGGUUCAACGUGUGCGUCGGCGUGCUAUUGAGUCAGCGGUAAAAGCCCGGGGCUCAACCCCGGCGAGCCGUUGAAACUGGCUGUCUUGAGAUGUCGAGAGGUAUGCUGAAUGCGCAGUGUAGCGGUGAAAUGCUUAGAUAUUGCGCAGAACUCCGAUUGCGAAGGCAGCAUACCGGCGGCGAUCUGACGCUGAGGCACGAAAGCGUGGGUAUCGAACAGGAUUAGAUACCCGUGUAGUC